ensembl:lncRNA
GAGUCUUUCAAGGCAUUCAGCUUAGUUUCAUAAAACAACUCUGCUUUCACAGCCGUAUUUUAUUGGUUUAUUAAUAUUAAAUUGAAUCACAGAAUUACAAAACCGAGUAUCACUGCCAUAAAUAGGUUUGGGAAUAAGCACUUGUUUCUGGGAAAGCAGAUGGGUUAACUGGAAGCGAUGUAUGUGGGUAUUCUAAGGAACAUCCUGCCAGACAGGGGUGUUCAGCCCACAGUUUAUGGAGAGCAUGGCAAGCGUGGCUGUUCCGAGAGGGCUCGUUCGGUGCUGGUGGAACAGAGAGCUCAGGCUGUGGUGUGGCUUCCACCACCCUGCAAACUAAGUCCCAUUCACUCCUCCAUCCCCUUUCAACCUUACAGAAAUGUGCUGAACUCUCUCAUCCGUCAAUGACCCCUGCCUCUCUUCCUGUCCUCUGGGUUUAUAUCUUCUCUUUUCCUUACUGUCAUUUUAAGGGGAGGGGGUGUCGAGAGGGAGAAAAGAUGAGCAUUAAAGUUCAAGCUGCCAUUUGUAUCCAGACAAUUCUCUCUUAUUUAAGACUCCCAACAGCCAGUGAGUGUCAGAGCCUAUUAUUAUCCCCACAAAGGUCACACAGCUGUAAGUGACAGAAGCAAGUUUCAAACUCAGGUCUGUCAGAGGCUGUAGUGGAUGCUGUGGUGCUUUGCCCAGAUCCCCUCUCAGGGUCAACACACCAUCGGCCAGCUGCUGGGGCGUUGGUUGCUGGUGGCUCCCUGGAAAUUGCCCUUGGCUGUAGGAACUGCCUCGCCCUGGCGGAAGUCUUUCCUCUGGAGAUCACCGUGGCCCGUGACUGGCUGAUGCAGGGAUAUGAAAGCCCAACCCUACUCCCUCAAUUUGGGACAAUUCUCAGGGGCCCUCCCAGCUCCAAAGCUCCUUGUGGGCUGGACUUCUGUAAAGAGAAACAUCCUCUCGUAAACGAUUUGGAUCCUCUAAGGUGAGGAAAUGAGGACAUAGAGGCUCAGAGGGUCAGAUGACUUACUGAAGAUGUCAAAUUAACGAGAGUGUGGUGAUCUGCAUUCAGUCUGUCUGGCUAUUUUUUUUCUCAGAGAGAGAGAACUUCCAGCUGCAGUGGAUCAGUUUAAUUCAUGUUAUUUGUUGAGUGCCCUCUGUGUGCUGAGUGCUGUGCUGUCUCCUAUAAAACGUCUCCAACAUUCCUCUUCCUCUUCCCCAGGCUGAGACUACCUUUAUUUCCCCAGCAAUUCCAAUUCUGUCUAGUCUUUAAGGUUCAGCUUUAGCCUGCUCCCUUCAGGAAGUUUGCCCUGAUUACCCCAGGAAUCCCUUCUUUCUGAACCUCUCUUGAGUGCCCCUCAAUUCCAGGAAAGAGUGUGCAGGAAAGAGUGAGAGGCAGAGUGGAUCCUUUUGUUUACCCCCAGGAAUUGACAAUAAGUUUAUAGCUUAGAAAAAGGACACAAAGUCCCCACAUUUUAAAGAGACUGACCAGGAGUCAGGGUGGCCUUCUUCUGGCUGAGAGGCUCCUGGUUAAAAAAACCAGCCCCACUCUGACCUCUUCCCCCUAGAAGAGGAGGAUUGCGAGAGGGAAAAGCUGUUUUUCAUCUCGUUUCCUUGGGGGAGACAAAGGAUUUACCCUCCCUGAGACAAGGCCCCAAGGAAAGGACGGAUUGACAUUUUGUUUCUCCGUUUAACUACCUGGCCUUGCUCUGGUGUAGCAGCAGAAACGCAGAGGAGACAGGGAGUUAUUUGGCCAGAUAAAUGGGGCAAGGACAGCCCUCAUACCAGUUCAGGUCUUGAAUUCCUCACAGUCCUCUGAGUAGAGAUGCAUAGAGAUUAGGGACCUCAUGCAGUGACGGGCAUCAGGAGAAUGAGUUGUGAGACCAUGAUGGGGGUGUCAGCCCAGGAUGAGGCAAAUCUCAGUGGGGAUCACCAGUAUGUAGUGGAGCUGCUUGGAGAGGGCCCUCAUCAGCAGAGUUUGUGAGAGCCUCUCCACCACCCAUAAGGAGCCCAUAGACAACAAAC